AGAAUCCUCAGCGUAGGCUGCACAACAGGUUGGACCGUUUUGAAUUUAUUGAAGAAGUGUAUGAAAAGUAUCUUGUAUGUCAUGAGAGUAAAACCUGAUGUGCUUCUUAGAAGAAAUCAUAUAAUACAAAGCCUGGACCAAAGCUGUGGAAGUAGUUGAAACUGGUGCACUGUACUAAACUCAUAUAAACUGAAACCAAAAAUCAAUAGUGAAAGGAAUGAGGCCAAAAAAAGGAAUAACACUGAAAAAUGAAUACCCUGCCAAAAAAGAAUAAAAUGUGUAAGAAUUUUGUUGAAAAGGUUUGCUUUGGAACAUCAUCAACUGAAAUGUUGGUGAGUUAGAAUAACACUGAAAGUAUUAUAGGUAGCAGAAGGUAUAUAAAUUAACAGUAAUCAAAGGAGGAACCUUAAAAAGAAUAAACCCAAGAGGAAUAAUCCUAUUAUGAACAAAAUGAAAAUGAAAUGCCUGAUAUAGAAAUGAGGAUUUUUUUUUUAUUGUCAAGUGAGUGCUCUUCAACUUAACUAAAGUUUUCUCCUAACUAUUAAGACAUUUUAACAACAGAAACUACAUGGCUACUACAUUCUAACUCAGUAUUUUUCUCAAUAGAUGCCAACUUGAUGACAGUCCACAAUACACUUCACAUUCCCUCUUAAUUACAUAACCUGUGUAGACCAUGUGUUAAUAAAACGUUUCUUCUUGCGUUAUUAGUGAUAUAAAAAUCGCAAGUAAAAUUGAUUUUCUAUAUAUUGCGGGGAAAUAAAUUGAUAGAUUUUAAUAUUUCUAGAAAGAUGGAAAACACUGGUUACCUUUUAUUGGCUAACCACGAGUUUCAUCAUCAUUAUUUAAUGAUGAAUAAUAGUACGACCGGAAGAACAACAAACAAUUGAUAUGUUUGUGGCGGUAACAAACAUUUAAUUCGUGAAUGUUACGGAAUAUACGUAUUCCAUUUCCAGUAAACUAUACUGAACAAGGUAAAAUAAGAUAUAUUGUACAUAACGAACCAUGUAAAAGUGCUCUAGCUAAGGGCCUAAAGUUUUGCUUUUCUCCCCUAAACUUAGAUUCUGUAAUUACUUGUUCCCCUUUGAAUGCACUUAUAAAUCUUUUAAAUCUCAUCCUAUUUUCAACAGAAAUUGUUCCCAGAACUUAGAGAGUUUUGCAAAAACCAGGUUCAAAAAUGUUGUUUUACAUAACGUCGAUUCCACUAUCACUCACGAAUAAUAUACUGUCUUAACUUAAAGGAAUUAGCUAAUGACAAAAAAUAUCGUUGUCGCCCUACUUAAUAAAGGUACAGGUGGUGUUAUCCACAAUAAACUGAAUUAUAUUAACAAAAUGCAAUAUGUUCUCAACAAUAAAACAAAAUUCAAAGAUUUUAAUGAUUGCAGUGGUGUAGUGCUAAAUAAAGAAGUGUCCGAACACGUUUUGAAGUGUUA